rnacentral:lncRNA from 1 species
AUGUGCUGUGGGUUAGGAAACAUUCUCAUCGUGGAAUCGCAUUUGCAGCAAUCCUACCCCCCGCCGCCUGCUCGCUUCUGGCUAUCAGGCUCUGCUGCAGCUCGUGGUGGUGGUGAUGGACACGUGAACAGCAGAGCUCAGCACAGCUCCUGGUUCAGCAGAGCCUCAGAUCUCCAGGAUUCUCUUCAUUCCUCCUGGAAAUGUGUGAGCACAAACUGGGCCCAGUUUGUUCCACCCAGGGUAACUGGAGCUGGUUAUCCAGACUGAAGGUUAAGAAGACUGAAUAUGGUGGGUUUGUCCCAAAAUGAGCUCUAUUUCCUUACCUGGAGGUGGGAUGACAUGGAAAUCAGCAAUGACAGCUGUAUUUCACAUCUGCAGUUCAGCUCUACCAUCAUUGCCAGCAGUUGUGGUGUUACCAGGCAGCAGCAGCUUCCAUCGCAGGUAAAAACCUUCCAUACCCUGGAGACUCCUUGCCCAUAUUAAAGGUCUUGUUUACAGACAGGGAAACUGAGUCAAAGAGCAUUGAUCCAAGUCCUCAGAGAUCAGUGGCAGACCAUCCAGAGCCCCACUUCUCCAAUAACUUCUGCAGCUAUUACAAGCAGGAAGAAAGGGCAGGAGUGCUUUUAGGGGCAUAAUUGAAAUCAGAUGAAUCACUGGAAGUCUUCCUGUCCAUUCAGUGGGCUUCACAUGAUGAUUUCUAAUAGUCAAGACUCAGAUUAUUUAGGGUGCACUGCUGGGGGCAGGGAAUGAGGCACGUAACUUGGGAAGCUCAGUCCUGGAGAGUCCUUUUGGAAGUGAAGCUGUAAAGCUUUAUAUGUACCUGAAGCAAAAUGUCUUUUUAUUUCCCUGUCAGCAUCUGCCUGUGAAAAGGAAAAAGAAAAGGCAGCCCAUUUGUGGAUGUUUUCUUGCUGCAACUCUGAAUUGGAAAUAUCUGUCCUUGAUUAAAGUGGGAAAUGCAAUUGCACAAGUCAUUAAUUAUUACUGAUAAACUGAAGUAGUGAUGGAGCCAAAUAAAAAUCUCCUGCCACUACA